AUGGAGGCGACAGUAGGCUCACUCAGGUGCGAUGUUGACGCGCGUGACGACAGUGCCGGCGACAGCAAAUACAGCAACGACCUCGAGGUUGUCUUGGUUCAAGUGCGUCCUAAGGUACCAGACUGUCAGUUCAGUGAACAUUCAUCUUUGAACUUUUUGACUAGUAUACUGCACUUGCAUGCAGGGAAAAUUCCACAAUCGUUGUUCGCUCUUCCGAGGCUGGAAAAUGUUUACCUUCAAGAAAACCAGCUUUCUGGUUCACUAGAAGACAUUCCUUACCCUUUAACUUCAUCUCUGUUAUGUAUUGACUUAGCCAACAAUCAACUAUCAGGCCCGAUACCCAACUCACUUUUUCAUCUUACAAAUCUUAAUUAUCUCAUUCUUGAAUCAAAUAAAUUCACAGGCACAGUUGAACUUAGCUCUGUCUGGAAGCAGAAGAAUCUAUUUAUCCUAAGCCUGUCAAACAAUUUGAUAUCACUCAUAGAUGAUGAAGGUUAAACAGUGCCUCCUUAUCUUCCUAACAUCAAGUACUUAUACCUGUCAUCUUGCAACCUUACAAAAAUUCCAGGCACAUUAAAAUAUCUUGAUGCGGUUUCCCUUCUUGACCUUUCGAGUAAUCAAAUAACGGGGGCUAUACCAAAUUGGAUAUGGGAGAAUUGGAAGGGCCACCUUAAUAUUUUGAACCUCUCGUGCAACAUGUUAACUACUUUGGAACAAUCUCCUUCUCUUGUUAAUAUGUCCAAUUUAGCUUAUCUUGAUCUCAGUUUCAAUAGACUUCAAGGAAGCAUACCAAUACCAGUAACCACAUCCAGUGAGAUCGCAUUGGACUACUCAAACAACCACUUCUCUUCAAUAGUACCGAACUUUGGCAUAUAUCUUGAAAACGCCAGCUAUAUUAAUUUCUCCAAUAAUAAACUAAGUGGCAAUGUACCAUCUUCGAUUUGUAAUGCAAGCAAAGCCAUUAUCACGGACUUAUCUGGCAACAACUACAGUGGAUCAGUACCAGCAUGUCUUACAGGAAGUGUAAACUUAAGCGUAUUGAAAUUGAGAGACAACCAAUUCCAUGGGGUGUUACCUAACAAUAGUAGAGAGGGGUGCAAUCUUCAGUCAAUAGAUGUGAAUGGAAACCAAAUUGAAGGUAAACUACCUAGAUCACUAUCAUACUGCCAAUAUUUGGAGCUCCUGGAUGCUGGAAAUAAUCAGAUUGUUGAUUCUUUUCCAUUUUGGUUGGGUAAACUUCCAAAUCUCCGAGUCCUUGUCUUAAGAUCCAACAAACUCAAUGGCACAAUAAGGGGUCUUAAAGGUUGUCACCAAAAUUGUAAUCACUUCAAAAGGUUGCAAAUAAUUGAUUUGGCCUCCAACCAUUUCUCUGGCAACAUACAUCCAGAAUGGUUUGAGCAUUUUCAAUCAAUGAUGGAAAAUGACAACGAUGAGGGACACAUAUUAGAGCAUACCACAAACACAAAAAUACCAUUGCUCUAUCAGGAUAUUACGGUUGUCAAUUACAAAGGGGGCACUCUUAUGUUCACUAAAAUCCUAACCACCUUCAAAGUAAUUGAUCUCUCAGAUAACUCAUUUGGUGGUCCUAUUCCAAAGUCAUUGGGGAAGCUUGUUUCACUACGUGGACUUAACCUGUCACACAAUGCCUUCACAGGACACAUUCCAUCGCAGCUUAAUUCUCUGACUCAGCUGGAGUCAUUGGAUCUCUCUUGGAACAAACUCUCAGGGGAAAUCCCUCCUGAGUUAGCUUCUCUAACUUCUCUUGCUUGGUUGAAUCUUUCGUACAACAACUUGACCAGAAGAAUACCGCAGGGUAACCAGUUCGGGUCAUUUAGCAACAGCUCCUUUGAAGGUAAUGUCAACCUCUGUGGAAAGCCACUCUCUAAACAAUGUGAUACUCCAGGCUCAACAUCUCCAAGUGCAUCAGCUCCUUCAGGUACCAACAGUUUCUGGCAGGACAGACUUGGCGUGAUCCUUUUGUUCAUCUUUUCUGGCCUGGGGUUCACAGUGGGCUUCAUAUUGGCAGUCUGGUUCGAAUCAUUGUGCCACAUAGAACGAUGGAAUCGCAAAAAACGAUGAUUGUUAGUAUACACUAUAUGUAUGGUGUUUAUCCACCUACGGACAUGAUAUAUGUGUAUGUGUGUACUCGUAAUUAGUGAGAAUUUAAAUUCAUUUUCUGUUGAUAAGAA